AGUGGCGAACGGGUGAGUAAUAUAUCGGAACGUACCCAAGAGUGGGGGAUAACGUAGCGAAAGUUACGCUAAUACCGCAUACGAUCUAAGGAUGAAAGCAGGGGAUCUUCGGACCUUGUGCUCCUGGAGCGGCCGAUAUCUGAUUAGCUAGUUGGUGAGGUAAAGGCUCACCAAGGCCACGAUCAGUAGCUGGUCUGAGAGGACGACCAGCCACACUGGAACUGAGACACGGUCCAGACUCCUACGGGAGGCAGCAGUGGGGAAUUUUGGACAAUGGGCGAAAGCCUGAUCCAGCAAUGCCGCGUGAGUGAAGAAGGCCUUCGGGUUGUAAAGCUCUUUUGUCAGGGAAGAAACGGUUUGGGCUAAUAUCCUGAGCUAAUGACGGUACCUGAAGAAUAAGCACCGGCUAACUACGUGCCAGCAGCCGCGGUAAUACGUAGGGUGCAAGCGUUAAUCGGAAUUACUGGGCGUAAAGCGUGCGCAGGCGGUUUUGUAAGUCUGACGUGAAAUCCCCGGGCUCAACCUGGGAAUUGCGUUGGAGACUGCAAGGCUAGAAUCUGGCAGAGGGGGGUAGAAUUCCACGUGUAGCAGUGAAAUGCGUAGAGAUGUGGAGGAACACCGAUGGCGAAGGCAGCCCCCUGGGUCAAGAUUGACGCUCAUGCACGAAAGCGUGGGGAGCAAACAGGAUUAGAUACCCUGGUAGUCCACGCCCUAAACGAUGUCUACUAGUUGUCGGGUUUUAAUUAACUUGGUAACGCAGCUAACGCGUGAAGUAGACCGCCUGGGGAGUACGGUCGCAAGAUUAAAACUCAAAGGAAUUGACGGGGACCCGCACAAGCGGUGGAUGAUGUGGAUUAAUUCGAUGCAACGCGAAAAACCUUACCUACCCUUGACAUG
rnacentral:rRNA from 1 species